UACCCUGCAGGAAGAGGGUGGUGCUGCUGUCUUGGCACAGGCCACUCCCCUCGUAUCCUCGGGCCCACCCAGGAUGGGCUCUUCCUAGGCCCAGGGCAGGGGUAGUGAGUGAGGGAGAAAGGAGGAGGAUGUCUGCUGCCCGUUUCCUGAGCAGCCCAGUGGCUGGAACACUGGGGCCUGGUCUCCUCAGGGUGGGGCUGCUGUGUAGGAUGUGCCAGAUGUUCUCUGCACAACCCUGGGGGCACCAUUCCCAUCCCGGGAAGCCUUAUGCCUUGGCUGUGCCCAGAGGCCAGUCUCUCCCCUACUGGUUGGUGCUGAUAGGGAAGACGUUGGCGAUGAAGGAUGCUGGAUGUGAGAGAUGUUCCAGAAAUGGGCCAAGAGGAGAGCUGGCUGCCUGCAAGCUGCCAAGUGGCAAAGGAUCCAGGAAAAGGCACAAGAUUGGAAAGUGCUACCCAGCAAUCUGUGUAUUCUGCAAUUAAGAAGGGGUGCCAGCUUUGAGCCUCCGGUCCUCUCUGGGGCCUGCAUUAACUGGACUCCCCUCUGACCUCCCGCUCAGAUAAUCCGCCCGAGCCGCUUUCAGUGUCUGAAGCUCACAGACUGGUUUGGACCUCAGGAGGUGGAGCCGCUACUCUUCGACCCUUGCCUGUCACAGGUCACCUAUUCCCCGGAUGCAGCUCCAGGGCAGGGUUAGAGAGUGGGAGUGGGAAGGAAAACAGGAUCAAGAACACAACGUAUAGUUUUCCUGAAUCUGCUCCACUUAGAAAUAGACAAGAUCUAUUAAGAUAGCUCGAGAGCGGGAUCCCUGGGUGGCGCAGCGGUUUGGCGCCUGCCUUUGGCCCAGGGCGCGAUCCUGGAGACCCGGGAUCGAAUCCCACGUCGGGCUCCCGGUGCAUGGAGCCUGCUUCUC